GUUUGUCGUCGAUUCUGUUGACCGUUUUCCGUCGAUUUUGUUGAGCGUUUGCCGUCAAUUUUGUUUGCCGUCGUCAAUUUAGCAGCUCCCAAGUUCUUAAUAAGACGGCUGAGAUAACAUUGAACAAACAAACACACGAACAAUCAAAAUCAUAAGUUAAAAGAUGAGUAUCCAGGAUUACUAUGGUGGAGCAGCGGAAGAGCUGGACAUCGGACAUUUCGCAUACUGCGAGCUAACGCCGAUGGAUGAGGGCGAACAAUCCGACAGCGUUGCAAGUGAUCCUUCGCAAGACAUUUGGCAACCAGGAGAAGUAUCUCUGUUAAAACAGUUGUUCGAAUUCUUCAAAGAUAAAGGGCCAAAAGCAUAUCGAAAUAUAACCGCU